GAACCGAUGGAUCGGUCACGCCAUUCGGUGUGUACUGGCUUAAUUGGUUCUCACCUUCUAAGGAACCAUGAUGUCAUUAAUUUGGUGUCGUGGAGAAUCAGGACUGUUACUUUGAAAAAAUUAGAGUGUUUAAAGCAAGCUAACGCUUGAAUACAUUAGCAUGGAAUAAUGAAAUAGGACGUUUGACCCUAUUUUGUUGGUUUCUAGGAUCGACGUA
rnacentral:rRNA from 1 species